UCCAACCUCACAGUGCGCAGUGCGCACCAGGCCUUCUUUAAGUUCAUCAUAGUUCGUUUUCAAACUAACAUUCGAAAAAAAAAAAGAAUAAAAUUAAAAAAAAGUAUUCAUAUUCAAAUAAAAAAUUUCUCUCUGUUCUAUUCUAUCGUUCUGUUGUCUCUUCUACUCUCUCUCUUUCUCUCUCUUCUUUCUCUCUCCUCCUCUCUGAAACUAAUUUCCAGCUCGGAAGGGUCCACCACUCCACGGUGGAGUUUCUGGAUCUCACCGUCGCAAUUUCAACUUUCUCCCUCAACUUUGACACAAAGUAAAACAUUCUUUUCUUUGAUAAGUUCUUUCGGUGAGGUUUUGAUUCUGAUUCUUGUUAUUAGUGAAGAGGAAUUUUAG